AGUUUGAUCCUGGCUCAGAUUGAACGCUGGCGGCAGGCUUAACACAUGCAAGUCGAGCGGGGAAAGGUAGCUUGCUACCUUACCUAGCGGCGGACGGGUGAGUAAUGCUUAGGAAUCUGCCUAUUAGUGGGGACAACAUUUCGAAAGGAAUGCUAAUACCGCAUACGCCCUACGGGGGAAAGCAGGGGACCUUCGGGCCUUGCGCUAAUAGAUGAGCCUAAGUCGGAUUAGCUAGUUGGUGGGGUAAAGGCCUACCAAGGCGACGAUCUGUAGCGGGUCUGAGAGGAUGAUCCGCCACACUGGGACUGAGACACGGCCCAGACUCCUACGGGAGGCAGCAGUGGGGAAUAUUGGACAAUGGGGGGAACCCUGAUCCAGCCAUGCCGCGUGUGUGAAGAAGGCCUUUUGGUUGUAAAGCACUUUAAGCGAGGAGGAGGCUACUUAGAUUAAUACUCUAGGAUAGUGGACGUUACUCGCAGAAUAAGCACCGGCUAACUCUGUGCCAGCAGCCGCGGCAAUACAGAGGGUGCAAGCGUUAAUCGGAUUUACUGGGCGUAAAGCGUGCGUAGGUGGCCAAUUAAGUCAAAUGUGAAAUCCCCGAGCUUAACUUGGGAAUUGCAUUCGAUACUGGUUGGCUAGAGUAUGGG
rnacentral:rRNA from 1 species